UUUUAGCCAUCCAAAUUAUGAGUAGUCAAAAUUUUCUACAAAAAUUUAGAAGAUUAUAAAAAGUACUUCAGUAAAGAAUAUAUAAAUACAAGAAAUAGAGAAAAAGUAUUUUUUAGUAGUGUCAAAUAGAUUAUUGCAGUUUUAGGCACAGAUUCAGAAACAAGAAAAAAUGGCUAUGAAUGAAUCAGCCAUAAAAUUUGCUAAUGUGUCACCAAGAAGUCCCCCCAUAUACUCUUGUUUUGAAAGGUCAAGUUUUGCUAAAACCAAGAAUGUUCUAGACAAGAUUGUCCCAGGAGGUCUAAUCUACAGUUAACAGCUGAGCUGUGUGAGAGAAGAUAGUAGGAAGAGAAAUCAGUUUGCCCUCCUCUGUGGAGAGACAGCAAGACUUAUUGCAGUGAGCACAGGGGCAAACACUUUCUUUUCAGUCAUUCUCGCCUCCCUUAGAGUAUAUUCUGGAUUUGCCCAUGACUCAGUGGAUGACAUCAGAUACGACACAUAACACAUCUGUCCCUCACUGAAUGGCAAUAAAUGUCUUGACCUCAUUAAGGUGUUUUGAAGAUAGAUUUGUUUUCCAGUAACGACUGUCUGCAAUAAUUUGACUAUAUAAAUGCUAAUGAUGCUGAUCUGGAGCAGUGUUUCCACCCUUUCAUGUAAUUUCUGGUGUGUAAAACAGACUGUCUUCUUCAGUUGGAAAUUCCUCUGGGUAAUUUACUGAGAAGCAGAGAGCUCAUUCUCUGCAAGUGGAAUCCCACUGUGAAUCCUGGUGUGUUCAAUUACGGUUUUCCGAACUGUAUGUUCUCAUCUGCCUGCAUAUAUUCUGCCAGACAGAGCAAGAAGCCAUUUUCUUCAAGAAGUCAUGCUCCUAUCUUAACUGCAUCUUCCAGAGAAAGCUAUGGACAGGAGCUCCUGUGAUGCAACUGCCUUCAUUUUUCAUGAUGAGAGAUUGGCAACCAGCACAGGAAACAUAUUCUGACAUACCAUUUUUGGAGAGGAAUAGGAUUCUGAGGAAGGUAUAAUGCCAAUAUUUCCAAUAAAAAUCUUCAUUUUAAUCUA